AGUGAACGCUGGCGGUAGGCCUAACACAUGCAAGUCGAACGGCAGCACAGUAAGAGCUUGCUCUUACGGGUGGCGAGUGGCGGACGGGUGAGGAAUACAUCGGAAUCUACUUUUUCGUGGGGGAUAACGUAGGGAAACUUACGCUAAUACCGCAUACGACCUACGGGUGAAAGCAGGGGAUCUUCGGACCUUGCGCGAUUGAAUGAGCCGAUGUCGGAUUAGCUAGUUGGCGGGGUAAAGGCCCACCAAGGCGACGAUCCGUAGCUGGUCUGAGAGGAUGAUCGGCCGCACUGGAACUGGGACACGGUCCAGGCUCCUACGGGAGGCAGCAGUGGGGAAUAUUGGGCAACGGGCGCAAGCCUGGUCCAGCCAUACCGCGUGGGUGAAAGAGGCCUUCGGGUUGUAAAGCCCUUUUGUUGGGAAAGAAAAGCAGCAGGUUAAUACCCCGCUGUUCUGACGGUACCCAAAGAAUAAGCACCGGCUAACUUCGUG
rnacentral:rRNA from 1 species